UGUCCAUAUUCUGUUCUUUACAAAUCUAUGAAUGUAAAAUGGAGCCGGUCUCCUGUGUUAAAAUUCUGUAUUUACUUGGCAUGCCACGUUAGUUGUUACAAGGUCAAAUUUGAUAAUGGUUACUUUUAAAUACACAUCACAAUCACGUAUUAAGGUAUAAAACAAAUUGUGUAACCAGCCAGUAUGAUAAGGUAUUUUAUGGCAGAAUUUAAAAAGUCUUUGUAUUUUAAGGCGAGUCAUCGGAAAAACUGUUUUGCUAGAUAAAACGUUUUAGGUAUUCAUUGUUAAAUAAGGGUUUUAAAAAAAUAUGUGAUAUACCUGAUGAUAUUGUCUAAAUUUGUUACACGAUGUACUUUACCCUAAUCAAAUCAAAUCCUGAAAACAGGUUAAAACAUAUUUUUUUAUAUGGGGAUAUUUCUCUUUAAGCGCUACAGGGAACCUGCUGCUUUUGGUUUUCAACUGAAGCCCUAUAGCUAUUAAAUUCACAAUUAUUCGAAAACUUGAAAAUUGCCCAAAGGUUUAACGACAAGCCGCGCUGGCCGCUGCCCUGGCAGUCGCCAUUGGGCGCGUGUCAACGUCGGAUCUGUUUCAAAAUUUCUCCGCCUUUUCUUAUUGAAUCAUUUUAAUUUCCUGUGCGCGGAUUGCGAUCACCUCCUAAAAUCUGGGCUCGCGUUGAAAUACGUCGCCUUAAUUAAGAACAUACAUGUGAUACGUUAAAAGUGAAUAUAACCUUUUGGGUACAAUAGACUACAACUUGUUCUUAAGAUGACAGUUUCUUUUUGGCACAUUUAGUAAACAUCGCGUUUACUAAAUGUAGUCUUUUUUUUAUAAGAUAUAAGUGCGCAUUUAACAUCCAUCUCACCUGACGGAAAGAGACGAUGAGGUUCACGAUGGAUCAUGCACACCUAAAUAAUGCCUAUUUUCUCUCGCCUUGAAAAGGCUCAAGUUAUAACGUUCAGGGAACAAGUCUGCAGGCAGGGAAUUCCACUCCAUAGCCGUUCGCCAUAUAAACGUGGAAGCGUAACGCUUCGUUACGAAGCCUACGCGUAGUCCUCCAAUGAUGGAAAGGGGAAGGCGGAAUUAAAUCGUGUAAUUCCAUCGCACACUCUUCGCGACAUGUCCUGUAAAAUACCGAUAAGCGGGCUUUACUUUACGGCGUACUCUGUUAUGUGUAUUGUGUAACGACUAUCAAAACAGGCCUGUUUCGAGAAAGCAUUUCGUAAAUUAACCUCUUUGAGAAGAAUCUGAUUACUGUAAAUGAUUACUUCUCUUAAUGUAAGAACUACCUUUAACUAUUGGAUUAUACAACCAUGUCCAUUGAAUCUCUUAAAAAUUAAGCGAUUUUCAUUUUUACUAAAAAUUUAAUUAAAAAAAUUCUAGCUCUUAAACAAAAGUGUAAUGCAUAACAAAGAAUGGAAUUGAUCUUGUCCGUUGGAAAGUUUAUAUUUAAAAUGUGUAUUAUAAAAAUACUAAUAACGUGCUGUUACGGUAUAGAGUUUCAUUUGGGAACUCAUUGUGGCUUUUUAACAACAAACUGAACCUCAUUUUGUAAUAAAAAAAAUUCCGAGAUAUUGCCAAACUAACGUAUCAUGUAGACAAUUCACCAUUCAAGUUAUUAUUACUCCAGUUUCAACUAUUCUGUUGCUACCAGGAGCAAGAAAGUUUUCGAUCCUCUAUGUACUUUUUUGCGGUUCUGUUUGUUACAUAAAGCCACAAAUCUUGUACGUAUUUCAAGCGACGAGGUGUGUUUAUUUUCAUAAGGUUACGGCUUUGAAGUUUUUUUGUGAUAGUUACGGUGUUUUUGAGUUGUUAUCAUAUUUUAUGCUUGAAAAGGGUAUUUCAUUUGUCUUUCACGUUACCUUCAAAUUCUUGCAAUAAACGGUGAUGGUAUCAAACAUUUAUAUUGAAGAACCACCAGGAUUAUAUUACUAACAUCAUAAAAAACAAGUUUUGUUCGACUUAAUAGUUCAUCAGAUUUUAUUUUUUUUAAAUAAAAAUAUUUCUCUAAAUUGUGGUAACACUGUGCGGUAACAAAAAGCGCAAGCGUAUAUGCCAAAACGCAGGAGCCGGGGUUGGGGGACUCUUGCACGUUUUAACGUACUACCUUACUACCAAAUACAAAUCUAAAAAAUGUCAGACAGUUCAUAAAAACUUGAAAGUUUGUUUUUCGUAAAUUUAUUAUGUUUUGUAAAAAAGUCGUGGAACAAAAGUGGUUGUUUGUGUUGUUAGUUAUAUACUCCCGCCAGGUUGUUACUAUUUAACAAGUCUAACUAAUAUAUCUACAGCUAAUACCCUUAAUACCCUUCUUUUGAAAUAAAUAGUAACAACUCUAUUAUACCAAUUUUCUUGCAUGGUAUUUCAAAAUGCUUAUGUAAAUUUCGCU